AUGGAGCUCCUUCCUCGCAAUUCCUAUGCCUCACAGCCUCCGUCACCGUAUAUAAAUACUCCAUCCUCUCGGCCACACCCCCUACACCGCACUGCAAGUCAGCAACCUACCAGCCUCGCGGCCAGUCUGCCAGUAGCCACUCAGCAACUCCCCUCUCUCGCGUUCUCUUGGUGCAGUCGUGCCGGCGCGAUGGCCGCACCUUUUCUGCACCUUCUUCUGCUCGUCGUCUCUGGGGGUGCUGCAGCGGGCGGCGAGGACGAGGUGGGGCUGCCCCCGCUUGAGCUCCGAGCCAUCGACGACCCGGGCCGUGGGCGCGCGUCCGUCGCUGCGGAGGAGCCGGUGCUCAUCGCCGAUAUCUCCACGCACGACGACGAGCCGGCCGAAGUACCCCGGGUUGAGUUCCGAGGCAUCGACGACUCGGGCCGUGGGCACGCGUCCGACGCGCCGGAGGAGCCGGUGUUCAUGGCCGAUGUCGCCACGGACGACGACGAGGCGCUUUUCGGUGGCAUCGAUGAGUCGGGCCAUGUGCACGCGUCCGACGCGCAGGAGGAGCGGGCGUUCAUGGACGUCAUCUCCACGGGCGGCGGCUGCGGCCGCUUCGCCCGCCUCGUCGCCAAGACGGGGAACGCGAGCCAGCUCUUCUGGGAGCGCGUCGCGGGCGGUGGCGGUCUCACCGUAUUCUGCCCCGAAGACAAGGCCCUCUCCGAGUUCGAGCCCAAGUUCCGAGGCCUCGGCGCCGACGACCGGCUCGCCGUCCUGCUGUACCACGGCGCGGCGACCACCUACGGCAGGAAGCUGUUCCAGGCCUUCGACUGGGUGUCGUUGAGCUCGCUGGCCACCGACGCGGCCACCAACAAGAGCCACGCCAUCACGCUCCGCGACGACGGGGACACGGUGUGGUUGUGGCCGUCGUGCGGGAGCCGCGCUUGGGUCAGGGUGACAAAGACGGUGUCCGAAGAGGCCCCCCUCGCCGUGUACGUCGUCGACGCCGUGCUGCUGCCGAGCCACCUGCGACAGAAGCUGGAUGGCGGCGACGAGCCGGCUGCUGCGUGCAAGCCGUCCGGCGGCUAUCUCGGCUGGCUGCACUCCUGCAUCCCGGCCUGGACAAUGGUACCCAUCGCCGUGCAUGUGACAGGCGCCUCCGCAGUCUUCUGCCUCGUUAUGCAUCUUUGUUCAAGACUGAACGGCAUGGACCCGAAAUAUCUGAACCUUUCUUGCUGUAAUUUUGAAAAGUGCUCCAAGUUAACCAGGGCCAGUCCAGCGGCCAAGCUUGUGGGAUGUGUAGACAAGGGUUUGUCUUUUCUCGUCAAGUCCAUGUCAUUGGAGCAACUGGAUAUACGUUACCAUCCUUUUGGGCUGAAGGGCAGUGCAGUUGUAACUAGAAUUGCUGAAAUGACGGCAACAUCUGGAACUGCUUACAAGCUUUUCGGCAAUAGGGCUAGUGAAGUUCCACAUUUGUCCUACAGUGUCAUGUAUCAAGAUGAGCAAAGACGCAUGGCUUCGAAACACCCAGGACCAGGAGCCAAGAAAGGAAUUACUUGGGCACUGGACGUCAAGAGGCCUCGGCAGCCUAUAAAUUUCGACGAAGGCCCGGAGCAAGGCCUCUCAACGCGCUCGGGCUUCCCACGGCAGCAUGGCGUAGUGCAGUCCAUAUCCAAGGCGGAUCUGGGUCGGCGAUCUCUUGGUUUUGCCACGGAUUGGUUCCGAUCAGAGACGGUGACGAGCGUGCGGGAUCCAUCCCGGCGGCUCUCGCGGUUUGGCGAGGUGGGGUGGGAGUCCUCCUCCCAGAUUUCAGUGGUGGCGCAUCCAGGCAGUGGCCGGUGUGCCAGGGCUCCUAUGGUGACAUUGCUGUUGCGGUUGGUCGCCGGAUCUAGGUGGCUAGAUCUGGGGCUUUGA
rnacentral:rRNA from 1 species